CUCACUGUGUUUAGGCUAGAGUAAUUGAUUUUUCCUCUAAGUUUUCUUUCUUUCUUUUGUUUCAGGGAAAGCAAUACCAUUUCAUCAGCUGGCUGGCUUCUCACCAGUUUUCUGACCGUUUCUUUUUUUGUGUGCACAUCUGGCAAUAAAACAGCUCCGCCACUCCCAGGAAGGAAGAAGCAUGCCCACACCAUUCCAAAAGUGUCCCUUCCCAUUGCGACUCCUUGCAGCAUUGGUUUCUGGAAACAGCAGCCUUACUGUUCAUCAUUUUGGCAUGCAGCUCUGAGAUAAGCCACUCUGGUGGCUUCUCCAUUAGCUGUCUCCUGGUGACUACCUGAGAAGUGGCCAUGCAGAGUUUAAUUGAAUCUGAUGAAAGCCCUCAUGGAGAUUAAAGUCUGUCCUUACUCUCAAAAGUCCCGUGUGAAAGAAAUAUUGACCAGACAGGAUUGGUUCUGUUCAUCACUCUUCGUGUCUCAAGCUCAACAUGCUAUCCCUGAAGUACACCGAAAGUGAACAGUUUUGCUCACACCCUCAGAAGCCUUACUUCAGCCUUUUCUGCCUGGUCCUGUGACUGCCUCAGGGACGGAGACAUUCUCUAGCUCUGCCUUACAGAGAACUCAGAAAUGUUUCUUCUGGAAACUUUAGACUUCAUCCUUCU
rnacentral:lncRNA from 1 species